CAGCAGCCACGGUAAUACGUAGGGGGCGAGCGUUGUCCGAAGUUACUGGGCGUAAAGCGCGCGUAGGCGGCUUCUUAAGUCUGAGGUGAAAGGUUCAACGCUUAACGUGAACAGUGCCUUGGAUACUGGGGAGCUUGAGUAUGGGAGAGGGCAGUGGAAUGGCUGGUGUAGCGGUGAAAUGCGUAGAUAUCAGUCGGAACACCCAUGGCGAAGGCAGCUGCCUGGCCUAAUACUGACGCUGAGGUGCGAAAGCGUGGGGAGCGAACGGGAUUAGAUACCCCAGUAGUCCCUGUCUCUUAUA
rnacentral:rRNA from 1 species